AUGAACAAGGAAGCAGGCUCUCAGCAGACGCUGAGUCUUCCAGUGCCUUGAUUUUAGAAUUCUUUGACUCCAGAACUGUGAGAUAUUAAUGUAAAGCAAAUGUCUGCAGAAGAGUAUUUGGGAAUCAGUAAAGCAACUAUGAUUUCCUGAGAGACAGAUCCCAGAAAGAAACAGCUCCAGGAAACCAGGAAUCCAUAAUUGAUUUUCAGCCUCAAGUCCAGGGACUGACCUACACUGAAGGUUCAGCAGGCUGGAUGGAGGACUGCCCUGAGGU